CCAUACACUGCAUACAUAUUAUUUAAAUAAAUAUUCGCCACUCUAAACAAAGCGGAAACACAUAGGACGUGGAGGGAAGCCUAGAAAGAGUAUGAAGAUUUUCUCAAUGAAAUUGAGAUUUUAUAAUCCUUUAAUUUGAGAAUGUUACGACUCAGCACGGACUCUGUAUAACUCCUUCGAUCGUAAAUACACAACACUCAAGAUUGACGAAUACAUUCUAUCAUAUUCAUCACCGUCGUUCAUUAUAAAUUAAAAUAAUAUACUUCUUUCUAUAUUCUCUUUCCGUUUCUGGCUCGAUGACGAAGUACGUUUGAACGAGGCAUACAUAGUAGUAAUUAUUAAUACCUACAGAAUUGAAUGAAGAACAAAGUACGCCUUCAUACUCGGAAUAUAUAUAUAUAUAAUAUAUCCAGGCGAAUUGAAUGGGACUAGCACUCGCUCAGGUUUUGUGAUAUGCAAAAACUUGGUUUAAUAUUAUAUACAUAAUAAGAAAUCCUUUAUGAUAUGCAGAUGUUCAGGACUUAUUGCUUUAUAAAUUUGAGUAUUUAUAUACAUACAUUAACGUCAAUAUAAUUCGAAUUACCUAUUUUUAACUAA
rnacentral:lncRNA from 1 species